UAUAUAAUAUCUAUACAUCUCUCUCGGUGUUUUGUUACAUGUUAAACAGCCACAAGACCACCCAAAAGCGUUACAAAAAAAUCGCCACUGAACAGCCCAUGGCUGCUGCUAUCUGCUGCUGCCACAAGGCAGCAGCCCCUCACCUUUGACACCCACUCCGCAGCUUAAUAGCUUGCAAUCUACUUAUCCAAUCGUAAGGCAUUUUUAGUAUGUUUUUUAUGGCAUACAAGACUAUUUUUAAGAAAUACUAACCUCUCAUUUCGGGUUUGUUAAGUAGUCUAAAAAGCGUGCCAAAAAUUGACGUUCAUAGUAGUCUUCAAUUUUUUUCCCAGCUUUACCCUCUCUCGCUAAAACAGUCAUAACUAAUUCAUUUCAAAACAUUUUUGAGCGAUUAUUGAGC
rnacentral:lncRNA from 1 species